AGAGUUUGAUCAUGGCUCAGGAUGAACGCUAGCGGGAGGCCUAACACAUGCAAGCCGAGCGGUAUUGUUCUUCGGAAAUGAGAGAGCGGCGUACGGGUGCGGAACACGUGUGCAACCUGCCUUUAUCUGGGGGAUAGCCUUUCGAAAGGAAGAUUAAUACUCCAUAAUAUAUUGAUUGGCAUCAAUUAAUAUUGAAAGCUCCGGCGGAUAGAGAUGGGCACGCGCAAGAUUAGCUAGUUGGUGAGGUAACGGCUCACCAAGGCGAUGAUCUUUAGGGGGCCUGAGAGGGUGAUCCCCCACACUGGUACUGAGACACGGACCAGACUCCUACGGGAGGCAGCAGUGAGGAAUAUUGGUCAAUGGGUGCAAGCCUGAACCAGCCAUCCCGCGUGAAGGACGACUGCCCUAUGGGUUGUAAACUUCUUUUGUAUAGGGAUAAACCUACCCUCGUGAGGGUAGCUGAAGGUACUAUACGAAUAAGCACCGGCUAACUCCGUG
rnacentral:rRNA from 1 species